UGGGGAAUAUUGCGCAAUGGACGAAAGUCUGACGCAGCGACGCCGCGUGGGUGAUGAAGGCCUUCGGGUCGUAAAGCCCUGUUGAGGGAGAGAAAGCUACUGUCGGUUAAUACCCGGCAGUGGUGAUAGUAUCCCUAGAGAAAGCACCGGCUAACUACGUGCCAGCAGCCGCGGUAAUACGUAGGGUGCAAGCGUUGCUCGGAAUUACUGGGCGUAAAGGGAGCGCAGGCGGUUUUGGAUGUCGCAGGUGAAAUACUCCGGCUUAACUGGAGAAACGCCUGCGAAACUGCAGGACUAGAGGACAGGAGAGGUGGACGGAAUUCCCGGUGUAGCGGUGAAAUGCGUAGAUAUCGGGAGGAACGCCGAAGGCGAAGGCAAUCCACUGGACUGUUCCUGACGCUCAAGCUCGAAAGCUAGGGGAUCAAACG
rnacentral:rRNA from 1 species